GACGAACGCUGGCGGCGCGCCUAACACAUGCAAGUCGAACGGAGCGGAGAGAAGCUUGCUUUUCUUAGCUUAGUGGCGCACGGGUGAGUAACGCGUGAGUAACCUGCCCUGGAGUGGGGGACAACAGUUGGAAACGACUGCUAAUACCGCAUAAGCCCACGAUCCGGCAUCGGAUUGAGGGAAAAGGAUUUAUUCGCUUCAGGAUGGACUCGCGUCCAAUUAGCUGGUUGGUGAGGUAACGGCCCACCAAGGCGACGAUUGGUAGCCGGACUGAGAGGUUACACGGCCACAUUGGGAAUGAGACACGGCCCAGACUCCUACGGGAGGCAGCAGUGGGGGAUAUUGCACAAUGGGGGAAACCCUGAUGCAGCGACGCCGCGGGGAGGAAGAAGGUUUUCGGAUUGUAAACUCCUGUCGUUAGGGACGAUAAUGACGGUACCUAACAAGAAAGCACCGGCUAACUACGUG
rnacentral:rRNA from 1 species